rnacentral:rRNA from 1 species
UACGGGGGGAGCAAGCGUUGUUCGGAUUUACUGGGCGUAAAGGGCGCGUAGGCGGCCACCGCAAGUCGACUGUGAAAUCUCCGGGCUUAACCCGGAAAGGUCAGCCGAUACUGCGGGGCUAGAGUGCAGAAGGGGCAACUGGAAUUCUCGGUGUAGCGGUGAAAUGCGUAGAUAUCGAGAGGAACACCUGCGGCGAAGGCGGGUUGCUGGGCUGACACUGACGCUGAUGCGCGAAAAGCUAGGGGAGCGAACGGGG